GAUGAACGCUGGCGGCGUGCCUAAUACAUGCAAGUCGAGCGAACAGACGAGGAGCUUGCUCCUCUGACGUUAGCGGUGGACGGGUGAGUAACACGUGGAUAACCUACCUAUAAGACUGGGAUAACUUCGGGAAACCGGAGCUAAUACCGGAUAAUAUAUUGAACCGCAUGGUUCAAUAGUGAAAGACGGUUUUGCUGUCACUUAUAGAUGGAUCCGCGCCGCAUUAGCUAGUUGGUAAGGUAACGGCUUACCAAGGCAACGAUGCGUAGCCGACCUGAGAGGGUGAUCGGCCACACUGGAACUGAGACACGGUCCAGACUCCUACGGGAGGCAGCAGUAGGGAAUCUUCCGCAAUGGGCGAAAGCUUGACGGAGCAACGCCGCGUGAGUGAUGAAGGUCUUCGGAUCGUAAAACUCUGUUAUUAGGGAAGAACAAAUGUGUAAGUAACUAUGCACGUCUUGACGGUACCUAAUCAGAAAGCCACGGCUAACUACGUG
rnacentral:rRNA from 1 species